GAGCAGCGGAGAAAAGGAGGAGAAGCGAUACACCUUCCGACCAGAGAGGGCAGCACUGAGAACACACCGCUCAACUCACACACUCCUCAUCCCCAGGACCAGUCCCUCAUAUGGACUGACUGAAGGACAAGUGAUAAAAUCCAGAAGUAGCCCAGCUCGCAACCCGGAAGAACAGCGAAUUCACAGAGACGACGUGGAAAGACUCGGACGAGGCGGGCGCACCCGUCGCACCUCCACUAGACCACCAGGGUCACAAGUGAAACAGAUCAUUCAGAGGUUCAUUAGAAACACUUUCAUGCUGUUGCCAUGGAAUAAUCUGCGUAUGUAAACAGAGCCAGACAAUCGCUUUAGGAGCCAGUUCCUACUUUACAGCAUGUGGCAACCGGCCAGAAAACUCCAGCAAUGACAUCAAUUUGUGGAACAAGAGAGAGAUGCGAAAAAGAAGAAAUUAGAAAGUGCAGGAGACCGGACAGCCGACACGUCUACUUUGUUUGCCCUGAACUCAGAUACGCCCUUUAUAUGGCCCAAACUACUGACAUAUAUUGUACUGGGUAACAACCUAGAUUAAUUGGCAUGGGCUUAGGGGCAUAGUUAGAAUUGCUGUGUUAAUGAGACCCAGAAAUAUGUUUCGUAUUGCUUUGUAAUUCAUUGUAAAUCCCAGGGAUGCUCCCGUUUAAAUUAAACCAUAAGAAAUGA